GAAUAUAAGAUUAAAUCUAUCUAACCUCUACCUCCUUUAUUACUAUAUCCUUUGCAGUUUGAUAUAUAUACACAUAUAUCGAUAUUAGGAGUUAGGGAGAUUAAAAUAUUUACAAAGACACAAUCUUUGAGGAGACAACCUAAUUCACCACUGGUAUUAAUCUUGGUUCUAUAAUAAUUAGUUACAUAAAUUAUUAAAACUUGAUUAGUAAUCCUAAUAACAAUUUAGGCUUGCAUUAGUACCUUAAAUUUAUGGCCCAUUCCUUGAUCCAAUUCAGAUUUUUUCAUCCAAUAACAUAUUUUUACUUACUCUUAAAUUUCAAUACCAAAAAGGAUGGAUUCACUCAUUAUCAACUUCUAUUAAAAUUCAAUCCGACCAUAAGCUUGAUAGUCUCUUUAGAUUCAAGCCCAACAAAA
rnacentral:lncRNA from 1 species